rnacentral:rRNA from 1 species
GAGGUUAAGCGACUAAGCGUACACGGUGGAUGCCCUGGCAGUCAGAGGCGAUGAAGGACGUGCUAAUCUGCGAUAAGCGCCGGUAAGGUGAUAUGAACCGUUAUAACCGGCGAUUUCCGAAUGGGGAAACCCAGUGUGACUCGUCACACUAUCAUUAACUGAAUCCAUAGGUUAAUGAGGCGAACCGGGGGAACUGAAACAUCUAAGUACCCCGAGGAAAAGAAAUCAACCGAGAUUCCCCCAGUAGCGGCGAGCGAACGGGGAGGAGCCCAGAGCCUGAAUCAGCAUGUGUGUUAGUGGAAGCGUCUGGAAAGGCGCGCGAUACAGGGUGACAGCCCCGUACACAAAAGCGCAUGUGCUGUGAG